GUCUCUGUGGUGCAAUUGGUUAAUGUGUUUGGCUGUUAACUGAAAGGUGGGUGGUUCGAGCCCACCCAGGGGCA
rnacentral:tRNA from 1 species